CUCGGGAUCCCUGCCUUAUCCCUGUGUGUGGGAGAAAUUGGUUAUAAAUAUGGAGCUCCCUCGAUCAAUAAGGAACACAGUCAAAACUGCCAGUCAGACAAAUAGACACACAACUCACACAUAACAUAAUGGCGACACAGGUAGACUCACAGGUAAACUUACAGAUGGAAAAACAGAGAGAUAGACCGAUGGAAGCCCUUGUGUUCAUUCCAGGGCCCCCCUCACCUACAGCCAUCCGCCCCUGGUCCAGGUGUGUAGCAGUGAUGGGGCUCGUGAUCAUGGUUCUAUUCGUGGGGUUAUCGUGUUUCUGCAUUGGGUUCUACAUCCAGAGAGUCACACAGGGAACUGGACAAUCACAUUGCACAGAGAAAUUCAAGCAGAACUUCAAACUUCAAGAGGGCAGAAAGUCAGAAGAAAAACCAGACGAAGUACAGUACGACAUCUUCACCGCACCGAAGGACGCCAUCUAUUUUAUCCAUGGCCAGGUGAACAGAGCAGACGGCAAGGGGAAAGUCUACCUGUUUUGGAAACACAUUAGCAGGCAUAAUUUCAACACCAUCAACGGAACCUGCCCUGAGGUCACCUUCGCUACUGAGGUCAAGUUAAUCAAAGGUGAUCAAGUCUACCUCGUCUUCAACGAGGGCAAACCCAACCUGAAAAGGAGCACUUUCACAGUCUACGAGCUUGUCGAGCAGUGACCAGACUGAAAAGCGUACAGUCUAGAAGUGUUAAGCCACACUGUAAGAUAGCAUUAAAGAUUUCAUUCCACAAGUUAUCUGUAGUGCUCAAUGAAUGACAUUCCAUGAGAGCAACACCUGUGAACAAAUGUUUAACUCCUUUAUACUGCGGCUGUAUAGACUAGAACAGUACAGUACAGUUUACAUCUGGAUGAAAGUUAUGACCCUUGUUAUAACACAUAAGCUGGGUCAGGUGGUUAGUGUGCUGUCUAUACCAGUGUUUCCCAACUCCAGUCCUCGAGUACCCCCAACAGCACACAUUUUGUUGUAGCCCCGGACAAGCACCACGGAUUCAACUUGUCAACUUAUCAAGCCCUCAAUGAGUUGAAUCAGGUGAGUUUGUCCAGGGCAACAACAAUAAUAUGUACUGUUGUGGGUUCUCCAGAAGUUGGGAAACACUGGUAUAGACAGCACACUAAUCACCUGACACAGCUUAUGUGUUAUAACAAGGGUCAUAACCUUUAUGUUCAGGGUCCAGUCCACAUAUUCCCUCUGUGUUGUAACAUUCCCUCAGCCUAAGAGACAUGUACUAAGUGAGGGGGUCAUUUUGGAGCUGGGCUGGAGGACGAACCAAAGCCGUUAUGGUGGCUGAUUCUUUAAGGUUAAAUAAGGAAACUGAAACCCAAUGUCUACGUCCAAUAUAAACAGUGAAACUCAGUAGAGUGAGAUCCAGUCCUCAAAAGUUUGUUCAAAUUGUAACGUUAGUAAAGUAUGCUGGUACAUUACAUGCAUAGUUUUUCAUUUUUCUGUCAAUAGAUGUAGCAUCUCCUGUUUGUGGACAGGUAGGUAUAGAGGCAACUGAUUGUUUUCUAUAAUAUUUAGUUUGUAAGAUGCAUUGAUCAACCAUAAAGUUACAAAGAUAUUGAAUGCAAUAAAGAGAUGGUAGAAAAGGAUUGUAUGUCAAUAUUUUGUGUAUAAGAUGAUCAUUUUAACCCAGUGCUUUUCCUGUCAUAGGGAAUGUUCCGAAUAUUUCCAAUGCUCUUAAGAUCAAAUGUAAUCAAAUUGAAUGUAAUAAAAUAUUUUGUGAAUAA
ensembl:lncRNA